rnacentral:rRNA from 1 species
UGUGCGGCGAGCGACAGGGAGAAGCCCAGCACCGAAUCUCCGGCGUCCAGCGCGCCGGCGAAGUGUGGUGUUGAGGAGGGUCCACUACCCCGGAGCACGCCGAGCCGAGUCCAAGUCCUUCUUGAACGGGGCCACGGUCCGUAGAGGGUGCCAGACCCGUAGCGGCCGGUGGCGUCUCCGGGUGGACUUUUCCUUAGAGUCGGGUUGCUUGAGAGUGCAGCCUAAAGCGGGUGGUAAACUCCAUCUAAGGCUAAAUAUGACCACGAGACCGAUAGCGAACAAGUACCGUGAGGGAAAGUUGAAAAGAACUUUGAAGAGAGAGUUCAACAGUACGUGAAACCGUUCAGGGGUAAACGGGGGAGACUUGAAAAUCCGAAAAGAGAGAUUCACGUCUUCCGCCGGCCUCGCCAAUCCUUCCCGCGGACGGCAGCGCCCCCUCGCUCAGACUCCGGUCCGGGCGUUUGCGGGGCCGGCCGGGCGGGGCGGGAGCGGCAGAGCCGCGGAGGACCGCACUUCUCUCUUAGCAGGACGUCGCGACCCGUCCGGAAGCAAGGCCUAACGGCCCGACACAUAGUCUCGGGUUAGCCGGCGGCCGCAAGGCCACCGGCUCCCGAGUUGGUCGGACCGAGGCGGCGUUACGGACGGUAGCAGUUGACGGUUGUCGAACCGCUCCUCGGAGCGCCUCUGACCACCGCCGAGUCGGUCGCCGAGUGGCGGUCGCGGGCACCCAGGGUGCCCGCGCCGCCUCGCCUCCGGCUGUCGGGGCGGUGGUUCUGGGGCCGCGUUCGCAUCACCCGUCGGCGGCGCCGCAGUUUCGAGCUCUCACCCGACCCGUCUUGAAACACGGACCAAGGAGUCCAACGUGUGCGCGAGUCUCUGGGUUAUCAAACCCAAAGGCGUAAUCAAGGUGAAGGGGAAAUACCUCUUCCCCCAGGGAGGACGUGGGCUUGCUCUUCUCGGGCGGCCCUCCGCACUCCCGGGGCGUCUCGCGCUCAUUGCGAGUGGAGGCGCACCUAGAGCGUUCACGUUGGGACCCGAAAGAUGGUGAACUAUGCCUGGCCAGGACGAAGCCAGGGGAAACCCUGGUGGAGGUCCGUAGCGGUUCUGACGUGCAAAUCGAUCGUCGGAGCCGGGUAUAGGGGCGAAAGACUAAUCGAACCAUCUAGUAGCUGGUUCCCUCCGAAGUUUCCCUCAGGAUAGCUGUCGCCCAAGUUAGACGAGUCUCAACCGGUAAAGCGAAUGAUUAGAGGCCUUGGGGUCGAAACGACCUCAACCUAUUCUCAAACUUUAAAUGGAUGAGAACCCCGACUUGCUUGACUUGUUGAGUGAAGUCGGGGCUCGGAUCCGGGCGACAAGUGGGCCAAUUUUGGUAAGCAGAACUGGCGCUGUGGGAUGAACCAAACGCGGAGUUAAGGCGCCCAAAUCGACGCUCAUCGGACACCAUGAAAGGCGUUGGUUGCUUAAGACAGCAGGACGGUGGCCAUGGAAGUCGGAAUCCGCUAAGGAGUGUGUAACAACUCACCUGCCGAAGCAACUAGCCCUGAAAAUGGAUGGCGCUGUAGCGUCGUGCCUAUACUCCUCCGCCAACGGCAAGAUACGGCACCGGGGACCCCGAAAGGGAUCCACGGAGCCCGUUAAGCCUUGGUGAGUAGGAGGGCCGCGGCGAUGUGCGCAGAAGGGUCAGGGCGCGAGCCCGCCUGGAGCCGUCGCCGGCGCAGAUCUUGGUGGUAGUAGCAAAUACUCCAGCGAGGCCCUGGAGGACUGAUGCGGAGAAGGGUUUCUUGUGAACAGCCGUUGCACAAGAGUCAGUCGGUCCUAAGCCCUAGGAGAAAUCCGAUGCCGAUUGGGGCCAUUAAAUAAUCUCGGCGAGCCGCCGGGCUGACUACUCACGUCUAUGUGUGCGGUCGGGUCGGCCGGUCUUGCCAGGUGACAAGUGGUCGCUCUAGGUCGGGCGAAGGGGAAUCCGGUCUCUAUUCCGGAACCUGGCCAGCGGUACCGUCCAAAGUCGGGCCCUCGGACGAGGACUCGUCGGGGUAACCAAAAAGGACCCGGAGACGCCGUCGGGAGAUCCAGGGAGAGUUGUCUCUUCUCUAUAAGCGUUCGAGUUCCCUGAAAACCUCUCGCAGAGAGAUAGGGUUUGGAGCGCGAAGAGCACCGCAGUUACGGCGGUGUCUGGAUCUUCCCCUCGGACCUUGAAAAUCCGGGUGAGGGCUACGAGGAACACCGCGCCAGACCGUACCCAUAUCCGCAGCAGGUCUCCAAGNNNNNNNNNNNNNNNACCACUACUUUCAUAGUUUCCUUACUUACUCGGUGAGGCGGAGGGCGUCCGUCGCUGGCCUCCCGGCCACGGCGAGACGGUCUUCUUGCGCCAAACGCGGGGGUUGGCGCCUGCCUCCUGUAGCGUCGGUUUCCCGGCUGGUCGCGAGAGCCUUGCAGGUUCUAACGGCCCGAGUGGAAGUCCGGCGCGAUCCAGGAGCGUUUGGUUCAAGCCAGCGCACUCCCCGGCGAGAUCCGAUCCGAGGACUCUUCCAGGUCGAUAGUUUGAGUGGGGCGACACAUGUGUCAAACAAUAACGCAGGUGCCCUAGGGCCAGCUCAGCGAGGACAGAAACCUCGCGUAGAGCAAGAGGGCAAAAUGUGUUUUGAUCCCGAUGCUCAGCACGCAUAGGCAGUGCGAGAGCACGGUCUAUCGAUCCUUUUGUCUUGGAGAGUCUCCAGCGAGAGGUGUCAGAAGAGAUACCACAGGUAUCACUGUCUCGUGGCGCACAAGCGCUCAUAGCGACGUCGCUUUGUGAUCCUUCGAUGUCGUCUCUUCCUAUCAUUGCGGAGCAAAAUCCGCCAAGCGUCAGAGUGCUCCCCCGCCAAUAGGGAACGUGAGCUGGGUUUAACCGUCGUGAGACAGGUUAUUUUACCCUUCUGAUGACUUAAACUUUUCAUUGCAACGGUAAUCCUGCUCAGUACGAGAGGAACCGCAGAUUCGGACAUUUGGUUAUGCACUCGGUCGACAGGCCGGUGGUGCCAGGCUAUCAUCCGCGGGAUUAUGCCUGAACGCCUCUAAGGCCGAAUCCCGCCUGAUAGCCCUGACACUUUUAGGGGUCCCAUGGGUCGAAAGGCUCAAACCAAUGUGAAACUGUAGGUGGAUCCGGUUCGUCCGGUCCAUCGCACGAGCCAUAUUACCGGGGGGGUCCUCGCGCGGGUUCGGUCCCGGACUAGAGUCCGGUCGGACCCCGACCUUCCUGGCUAACGUGGGUCACCCUAACGGGAGUUCGAUGUUGGGACCCGGAGCCGUCUGUAGACGACUAGUAGA